CAAUUUUGAUUGAUUUUGUAGUUUUUAGACGAUUUUUGAUCAAAUUUGAUUCAAAAAUGCACCGUAGAGGUCAUUUUCAUUUUGGGUGACUGUAGGUAUCCCCUAAUUGUGUAGAUUACAGUCCGAGUAAAUGACAAAUGUUCUGUCAUUUCGGUUCAACAGGUUUUUAAUGAUCCCACCGAAAUAAUUGUAAACUGCUUUAAAAUCCCUGUCGGGGUUAAAUAGUUGCGUAAAAAGCUUGGAAUCAGAGCAUUUGUCCCAUGAAUCAAUACGCCUGACGAAAAAAUUGAUCAAUACCAUUUCAUCGGAGUAGUUUUCAAGCCCACUCGCCAUGAAACUUUAAUUACAAUCGACAUAAUUUGGAAUAGAGUCCUAGAAAACGCUAAAGCUCGUAUUUGCGGCAUCCCGUGUUAACUACCCAAUAAAAAGCAAUCAGUGGCUUGUCACUCUUUUCUACCAGCAACUUGUUGGUUGUUUAGUUCGCGUUGUUGACGUUGUUUGGGGUGUUACACCCUUGCUAUCUUUAUACGACUGUCACGGCAAAAAUCGAAACCUUGGUCUAGUCUUACCUCUAUUUUUAUCAGGCGCGAUGAGAGAUCAUUUUAAUUUGGCAACGACCGAACGAAAAAAUCAACCAGUUUCCUGUUUCUAUAUCCCAACGAAAAACACGCUGUUUGCGGCAAAAACGCGACUAUAAAUUACUUUACUAUAUGGUCUUGACUUACAAAUUUAUUGUUAGCAAGCUACAAAGAGAAAUAGAAAAAAUUAACGAUUCUAAAGUUUUUCCGGUCGUUUAAUUGGAUUGAAUUGCUAAAACAUGGGACGGGAGAUUUUCAGCGGCUGCGUUUUAUAGCCCAGCGAAUUUCAUUUUUUCUAUUUCGAUUUUUAAGGUGCGAACUCGCAGCGUAAUGACGACAGCGAAAUUUCAACAGAAGCCUAAUAUCGAGAUAAUGCAUGUUAAAUUGUUGCGUUAACUGCUUCUGUUUCAAUGCUGAGGUGUGAUUAUUUGCAUGUAAGCAGCUGCUCCGUGGGCAAAAAUCUACAAGAUACAAUCGAGACCCAUUCAACUUUUCACUAAUUACGAAUUAAAUGCCUGGUCUAAUUGCAUCACCUGCGUUUUCACGAGAUGGGAAAAUUACGACCUCGAGGUGACGAAAACUUACAAGACCCCGAAACCGUUUUCUACACACUGGAGGAACUUUGUGAAUAAUAAAUGUUGUUGGAUAUAAAUUCUCUUGUAAACUCACGAAUAACUCAUUAUUCCAUUAUUAAUACUUACCUUAUAUUUAUUUUAGUU